UGGGGGAAUAUUGCACAAUGGGGGGAAACCCUGAUGCAGCGACGCCGCGUGAGCGAAGAAGUAUCUCGGUAUGUAAAGCUCUAUCAGCAGGGAAGAAAAUGACGGUACCUGACUAAGAAGCCCCGGCUAACUACGUGCCAGCAGCCGCGGUAAUACGUAGGGGGCAAGCGUUAUCCGGAUUUACUGGGUGUAAAGGGAGCGUAGACGGCAAUGCAAGUCAGCGGUCAAAGUUCCGGGCUCAACCCGGUGUCGCCGUUGAAACUGGCGUGCUCGAGUGCGUGCGAGGAAGGCGGAAUGCGUUGUGUAGCGGUGAAAUGCAUAGAUAUGACGCAGAACUCCGAUUGCGAAGGCAGCUUUCCAGCGCGCUACUGACGCUGAGGCACGAAAGCAUGGGGAUCGAACAGGAUUAGAUACCCUGGUAGU
rnacentral:rRNA from 1 species